rnacentral:rRNA from 1 species
UACGUAGGGGGCAAGCGUUGUCCGGAUUUAUUGGGCGUAAAGCGCUCGCAGGUGGUUCAUUGCGUCGUGCGUGAAAGACCCCGGCUCAACCGGGAGAGGUUGUCCGAUACUGCUGGACUUGAGGGCAGUAGAGGGUGGUGGAAUUCCGGGUGUAGUGGUGAAAUGCGUAGAUAUCCGGAGGAACACCAGUGGCGAAAGCGGCCACCUGGACUGCACCUGACGCUGACACGCGAAAGCUAGGGGAGCGAACGGG